GUAUCAUGGCUCAGGAUGAACGCUAGCUACAGGCUUAACACAUGCAAGUCGAGGGGCAGCAUUUCAGUUUGCUUGCAAACUGAAGAUGGCGACCGGCGCACGGGUGAGUAACACGUAUCCAACCUGCCGGAUAACUCGGGGAUAGCCUUUCGAAACGAAAGAUUAAUAUCCGAUGGUAUAAUUAGACCGCAUGGUCUUGUUAUUAAAGAAUUUCGGUUAUCGAUGGGGAUGCGUUCCAUUAGG
rnacentral:rRNA from 1 species